rnacentral:rRNA from 1 species
GACGAACGCUGGCGGCGUGCUUAACACAUGCAAGUCGAACGAUGAACCGGUUUCGGCCGGGGAUUAGUUGCGAACGGGUGAGUAACACGUGGUCAAUCUGCCCUGCACUCUGGGAUAAGCCCGGGAAACUGGGUCUAAUACCGGAUACGACACUCCGAUGCAUCUUGGGGUGUGGAAAGUUCCGGCGGUGCAGGAUGAGCCCGCGUCCUAUCAGCUUGUUGGUGGGGUAAUGGCCUACCAAGGCGACGACGGGUAGCCGGCCUGAGAGGGUGACCGGACACACUGGGACUGAGACACGGCCCAGACUCAUACGGGAGGCAGCAGAGGGGAAUAUUGCACAAUGGGCGAAAGCAUGAUGCAGCGAAGCCGCGUGAGGGAUGACGGCCUUCGGGUUGUAAACCUCUUUCAGCAGGGAAGAAGCGAAAGUGACGGUACCUGCAGAAGAAGCACCGGCUAACUACGUG